rnacentral:rRNA from 1 species
UAGGGAAUCUUCCGCAAUGGACGAAAGUCUGACGGAGCAACGCCGCGUGAGUGAAGAAGGAUUUCGGUUCGUAAAACUCUGUUGUUAGGGAAGAAAAAAUGUAUAGUAACUAUAUACAAAAGAGACGGUACCUAACCAGAAAGCCACGGCUAACUACGUGCCAGCAGCCGCGGUAAUACGUAGGUGGCAAGCGUUGUCCGGAAUUAUUGGGCGUAAAGCGCGCGCAGGUGGUUUAGAAAGUCUGAUGUGAAAGCCCACGGCUCAACCGUGGAGGGUCAUUGGAAACUAAUAAACUUGAGUGCAGGAGAGAAAAGUGGAAUUCCUAGUGUAGCGGUGAAAUGCGUAGAGAUUAGGAAGAACACCGGUGGCGAAAGCGGCUUUUUGGCCUGCAACUGACACUGAGGCGCGAAAGCGUGGGGAGCAAACAGG